UCUCUCCCUCCCUCCCCCGCCUCCACCAGCGAGCCCCUCUGCUCUCCCUCGCUUCUAUCUGGUGGAACCGCCGCCCCCAACCUCUCUCUCCGACUUAAAUCCGCCGCCGCCUCCAACCGCUCCCACCCCACUCCUCUUCCCUCCUCCUCGGGCAGCCCAGUCGUCGUCGCGACCGAGGACCAGAGACGCGGGCGGGGACCUCGAGGCGGAGGAGGAGCAGCAGCGGCGGCGACGGCGAGUCAGGGCAAGGCCAGCAGCGAUGGGGUUCAUCUCCUUCGUCGGGAGGGUGCUCUUCGCCUCCAUCUUCCUCCUCUCCGCCUACCAAGAAGGAGGAAGCAAACUUGCCCGGCAAGAAGGGAUCCCUCAAGCUGGAUGAAUGGGUGCUCUGCCGGCUUUAGAACAAGAAGAACAACUAGGAGAAGGUCAAGGUGGAGCAAGACAUGGCUGUGGAGGCAUGGCCUGGACGCUCGUCAACCUCGGCCACUUCGUGACUACAUACCACUUCUUCCACUGGAAGAAGGGAACUCCAUUCGCUGAUGAUCAGGGGAUGUAUAAUAGAUGACUUGGUGGGAGCAAAUGGACAACCGCAGGCAGCUUACUCACAACAGAAAAUUUCUUGUUGUGGUUCAUGUAGUCCUCGGCCGUGCUCCACCAGCUCUUUUGUGGUUCUUGCAAUCUGGGGAGUUCCUCACAUGACAGGGCCCUCCCUCUUCUGCUUCUUCUACUACCUACUAUUGCUGCUGUUACUGAUUGGUCUAUGCACGGUGAAGUGCGAAUCAAAGUCCGAAGCUAUGAAGCAUAUCAACAAGUAGUAGCAUAUUAUGUGUUGUAAUUGUAGGAAGUAGUAGGCAUAUCUGGCUUGUAGUAUACUGUAAUGAUUGUAAUAGACUAAUGUAGUGUUGUUUUGGAUGAAUUUUGAUUGCUCUCUGGUCUGAUAAUUAUUGUGUAUGUGGUUUGAAUACCUGUGAAAUGGAAACAUGACAAUGGAGUCCA